GAUGAACGCUGGCGGCGUGCCUAAUACAUGCCAGUCGAGCGAACAGACGAGGAGCUUGCUCCUCUGACGUUAGCGGCGGACGGGUGAGUAACACGUGGAUAACCUACCUAUAAGACUGGGAUAACUUCGGGAAACCGGAGCUAAUACCGGAUAAUAUAUUGAACCGCAUGGUGCAAUAGUGAAAGACGGUUUUGCUGUCACUUAUAGAUGGAUCCGCGCCGCAUUAGCUAGUUGGUAAGGUAACGGCUUACCAAGGCAACGAUGCGUAGCCGACCUGAGAGGGUGAUCGCCCACACUGGAACUGAGACACGGCCGAGACUCCUACGCGAGGCAGCAGUAGGGACUCUUCCGCAAUGGGCGAAAGCCUGACGGAGCAACGCCGCGUGAGUGAUGAAGCUCUCCGGAUCGUAAAACUCUGUUAUUAGGGAAGAACAAAUGUGUAAGUAACUAUGCACGUCUUGACGGUACCUACUCAGAAAGCCCCGGCUAACUCCGUG
rnacentral:rRNA from 1 species